rnacentral:tRNA from 1 species
AGAUCCGUAGCUCAGUUGGUAGAGCUUCUGCCUUACAAGCAGAAUGUCAUCGGUUCGAGUCCGGUCGGGUCUA